rnacentral:rRNA from 1 species
GGCGAUGUUUCAUUUCAAAUUUCCUGCCCUUAUCAACUUUCGACGGUAGGGUAGUGGCCUACCGUGGUGGUAACGGGUGACGGAGGAUUAGGGUUCGAUUCCGGAGAGGGAGCCUGAGAAACGGCUACCACAUCCAAGGAAGGCAGCAGGCGCGCAAAUUACCCAAAUCCCAACUCGGGGAGGUAGUGACAAGAAAUAACGAUGCUCCGGCCAUCGGUCGGGUAAUCGGAAUGAGAACAAUUUAAAUCCCUUAUCGAGGAUCAAUUGGAGGGCAAGUCUGGUGCCAGCAGCCGCGGUAAUUCCAGCUCCAAUAGCGUAUAUUUAAGUUGCUGCGGUUAAAAAGCUCGUAGUCGGAUUUCGGGUGGCGCCUACCGGUCCGCCUUUGGUGAGUACUGGUAGGUACCACCUUUCUGCCGAGGACGGGGUACUGGGCUUAGUUGUCUGGGCCUCGGAGUCGGCGAUGUCACUUUGAGUAAAUUAGGGUGUUCAAAGCAGGCUUAUGCUCUGUAUACACUAGCAUGGGAUGACACGAUAGGACUUCGGUUUAUCUUGUCGGUCUGUGGAUCGGAGUAAUGAUUAAGAGGGACAGUCGGGGGCAUUCGUAUUUCGUAGUCAGAGGUGAAAUUCUUGGAUUUACGGAAGACGAACUUCUGCGAAAGCAUUUGCCAAGGAUGUUUUCAUUGAUCAAGAACGAAAGUCGGGGGCUCGAAGACGAUUAGAUACCGUCGUAGUCUCGACCAUAAACGAU